rnacentral:hammerhead_ribozyme from 1 species
GCACUGCUGAAGAGUCCCAUACUAAGACGAAACGGCCGUUCAAUGC